AGUAACGCGUGGGUAACCUGCCUUAUACAGGGGGAGUAACAGUUAGAAAUGACUGCUAAUACCGCAUAAGCGCACAGGAUUGCAUGAUCUGGUGUGAAAAACUACCGGUGGUAUAAGAUGGACCCGCGUUGGAUUAGCUGGUUGGCAGGGCAGCGGCCUACCAAGGCGACGAUCCAUAGCCGGCCUGAGAGGGUGAACGGCCACAUUGGGACUGAGACACGGCCCAGACUCCUACGGGAGGCAGCAUG
rnacentral:rRNA from 1 species